GACGAACCGUGCGAACGUUGUUCGGAAUCACUGGGCUUAAAGGGCGCGUAGGCGGGUUCGCAAGUCUGUGGUGAAAGCCUCCAGCUUAACUGGAGAAGUGCCAUGGAUACUGCGCAUCUUGAGGAGGGUAGGGGCGUCUGGAACGGUCGGUGGAGCGGUGAAAUGCGUUGAUAUCGACCGGAACUCCGGUGGCGAAGGCGAGGCGCUGGACCCUUUCUGACGCUGAGGCGCGAAAGCCAGGGGAGCGAACGGG
rnacentral:rRNA from 1 species